UAGCUAAAUGCGGAAGAGAUAAGUGCUGAAAGCAUCUAAGCACGAAACUUGCCCCGAGAUGAGUUCUCCCUGACCCUUUAAGGGUCCUGAAGGAACGUUGAAGACGACGACGUUGAUAGGCCGGGUGUGUAAGCGCAGCGAUGCGUUGAGCUAACCGGUACUAAUGAACCGUGAGGCUUAACCUUACAACGCCGAAGGUGUUU
rnacentral:rRNA from 1 species